rnacentral:rRNA from 1 species
UACGGGGGGGGCAAGCGUUGUUCGGAAUUACUGGGCGUAAAGGGCUCGUAGGUGGCCAACUAAGUCAGACGUGAAAUCCCCAAGCUUAACCUGGGAACUGCGUCUGAUACUGGAUGGCUUGAAUUCGGGAGAGGGAUGCAGAAUUCCAGGUGUAGCGGUGAAAUGCGUAGAUAUCUGGAGGAACAUCGGUGGCGAAGGCGGCAUCCUGGACCGGUAUUGACGCUGAGGCGCGAAAGCCAGGGGAGCAAACGGG